AUACGGAGGGUCCGAGCGUUAUCCGGAAUCAUUGGGUUUAAAGGGUCCGUAGGCGGGAAUCUAAGUCAGUGGUGAAAUCUUGCAGCUCAACUGUAAAAUUGCCAUUGAUACUGGGUUUCUUGAAUUAGUGUGAAGUGGUUAGAAUGUGUAGUGUAGCGGUGAAAUGCAUAGAUAUUACACAGAAUUCCAAUUGCGAAGGCAGAUCACUAACACUAUAUUGACGCUGAGGGACGAAAGCGUGGGGAGCGAACAGGAUUAGAAACCCGAGUAGUCC
rnacentral:rRNA from 1 species